UAGGGGGAUGAAUCAGUUACCUAACGUGUGUAAGACCCUGAGUUCCAUCCCCAGUGCUGCAAACACAAUCACAAACGGAUCAGCUUGAUUGAAGUUCGCUUGCUAUAUAGACAGCAUUCGUGUGCAAUGUGUACAAUUUGAUAUGCCUGGCGGCAAGAGAUGUCUCUUCUCUGAUUAUGAACUGCAGAUGUCCGUCAUCGUUGUUAAGAUGUCCGCUUACCGUUAUAUUGCAAGACCUAGCUAUCCCAGCAGGGCAAGAGGAAGAUACAAGGCAUUUAUUAGGCAAGAGAGGAGAAGGUGACACCUCUUGGACAACGUCAAACCCCAAGAGAUGUACAAGCCAGGGCCAAGAACCAACAGUCUGUUUCUGAAACUGUAACACCAUUAAUGGGACAAAGAGAGUACGCCUACUUUAUGAAAUGAGGAAGUGGCAGUUGCAAAGACUACGCCAUGGAGGACUGUGCCUUUAACUGCAUGGCCUGGGAGAGAUUGAAGAACGACAGAGGAAUCACUGUGCAAAUGAUGAUUGGUAAUUUGUGUGGGUGCCGGAGAAGCCCCAAAGCUAUGAAAACAGAUUUGGUCAGAAGCAGCUCCGCAUGUACGUUAGACAUGUCUCUCCUCAGAAAUAAAAAUCACC
rnacentral:lncRNA from 1 species